GACGGAGGAGGCAAGCGUUAUCCGGAAUUAUUGGGCGUAAAGCGUCCGCAGGUGGUUGUGCAAGUCUGUUGUCAAAGCGCGAGGCUCAACCUUGUAUAGGCAAUGGAAACUGUGCGACUAGAGUGCGGUAGGGGUAGAGGGAAUUCCCGGUGUAGCGGUGAAAUGCGUAGAUAUCGGGAAGAACACCAGUGGCGAAGGCGCUCUACUGGGCCUGCACUGACACUGAGGGACGAAAGCUAGGGGAGCGAAAGGG
rnacentral:rRNA from 1 species